GUCGGGAUAGCUCAGUGGAGAGCAGAGGAAAAAAAAUCCUCGUGUCACCAGUUCAAAU
rnacentral:tRNA from 1 species